rnacentral:rRNA from 1 species
UACGUAGGGUGCGAGCGUUGUCCGGAAUUAUUGGGCGUAAAGAGCUUGUAGGCGGUCUGUCGCGUCGGCUGUGAAAUCCCGAGGCUCAACCUCGGGUCUGCAGUCGAUACGGGCAAACUGGAGUACUGCAGGGGAGACUGGAAUUCCUGGUGUAGCGGUGAAAUGCGCAGAUAUCGUUUGGAACGCCGAUGGUGAAAACAGGUUGCUGGGGCUGUGCUGACGCUGAGACACGAAAGCCAGGGGAGCGAACGGG